AACUUCCUUUUAUUGUGCGAAUAUCCCAACUUCCUUUUACCGUGUAUUCCUUCCUGGUUGCGACUCGGCCUUUCUUUUGCUGCGCCGCCUCAUACUAUUGAUCUUUCUUUUGGACCACCACCGCGGCUCCUUCACUUCUCUCUAUAUUCAUCUGAUUCUUUCCGACUGUUUCAUUUGUAAACCUCUCAACUGCUCACAAAUUACGCAAUAUACCGACUGGGAAGAAAAAUACCACACACCAUCAUUACUAGGGUUUCAUUAUUUAGGUUCGUUUAAAGAGUAAAUAGAGUGUGUGUUCGGAUUUUGUGUUCACUAGCAGAUCCAUAUUUUAUUUUUCUCGACUCAUUUCUGUUAUUUCGAAAAGGGUUUUCCAUUUUUUGAAGAAGUCGAAAUUUUAUUGGUUUUAUUUUUCCAGGAAAAACUUGAAUUUGGGCAUUCGAGGCUAGCAUUCUGUUUGCUAUACAGAUUUAUAAGCACUCACAAACUUCUCAGAGCAUGGCGGCUGGAAGACAUGGGAGCCAAAAAGACAAUGAGUUCAAGGGUCGCAAGAUGGACUUGGGGCUGCCAAAGAAGGAAGUUGGGAAUGUGAAAGGGGAUAAUGAUCGUUUUAGGAACGGAGACUGGGAUAAUUGGAAAAGUCGAAGUGGGGUUCGGGAUCGAGAUAGUAGGGAUCAUACAGGUAGGGUUAGACAGAAGGAUAUUAAGAUAAGGGAGGUGAUAAAUGGUGGGUAUCAUUCUAUUUCAAAUCAGAGUGAUUCUAGCAGUAGUGGUGGUGGGAGGAGGAGUGAAUUGGCAGUUCGGGUCAUGGAUCGAGAGCCUGGGGAGCUGUCUAGUGACGGGUCUGAUGGGGCUAGUGAUUUGGAAUCUCGGAUUAAUAUAGAGAGUGAGGUUAAGACGUCAGAAAAUGGAAAACAAUCAUUGCCUGUCCAGAAUAAGAAGCGGAAGUUUUCUCCAAUUGUUUGGGAUAGAGAUGACAGGGAAUUGAGUAGAGCAUUCGAGAAAAGGAAUGUUUCUGAUACUACUAAUUUACCUUUUUCACCUCCUGUGGUCAAUUCGAAUGUUCCGUCGUCUGUCCCUUCUCUGGAUGAGUCCGUACAAGUUUCACCUAAGCACAAAUGCGAGGUUCAGAAUUCCAAAGCAUCAUUUCCUGAGAUUGAUUUAGUGCCAGAGGUGUUGGAAGUUCCUGUUAAAACAUCUUCCUUGUCUCCCAACGAAGAGUGUCCUGGUGGUGACCAGGGAGCAGAGGAAUUUGACGCUGAAGAUUUUGAGUCUACUCGAACCAUUGUUUCCUCUCGUUGGGCAAAUAAUGCUGACUCCCCAGUUGAUGAAGGUGUGAUUCAUGAUAAUGGAGAUACGCCUAAAUGGAAGGUGCGGAGGUCUGGUACUGAGUCGGCUCUAGUAUGGGGGCAUAGGAAAUCAAGAAGUCCAGAGCUUGGAGAGGUUAAAGCCGAAGGAUCUAAAGGAACUAGGGGGAGGUCCUCUGGAUCUGAUGAGUGUGUUAGGUCUUCUAGUAGAGAUAGUUACCCUAACAACGUUGAUAAGAAUGACUACAUGGAGAUAGAUGAGGACCGAAAUUAUGGUGCUACUAGUGUUAGCCAGUCGGAUAUGGAAUCUGUGGAUGAACUAGGUUCUUGUGGUACACCAGAGACUGCACUCACCCCAGAAAGGAGUGUGAAUAUGCUUCGGGGGUGCAGAAGUGUUGAUGAGUUUGAGAGAUUGAACAAGAUAAAUGAAGGCACUUACGGGAUUGUUUAUAGAGCCAGGGACAAGAAGUCUGGAGAAAUUGUUGCUUUGAAGAAGGUCAAGAUGGAGAAAGAGAGAGAAGGGUUUCCUCUGACUUCACUUCGAGAAAUUAACAUCCUUCUCUCUUUUCAGCAUCCUUCAGCAGUGGAUGUCAAAGAAGUAGUUGUGGGUAGCAAUCUUGACAGCAUCUUCAUGGUCAUGGAGUAUAUGGAACAUGAUCUUAAGGGAUUGAUGGAGACAAUGAGACAGCCGUUUAGUCAAAGUGAAGUUAAAUGCCUUACGCUCCAGCUGUUAGAGGGUGUCAAAUAUCUUCAUGAUAAUUGGGUACUUCACCGAGAUCUGAAAACAUCUAAUUUACUUUUAAAUAAUCGAGGGGAGCUGAAAAUCUGCGAUUUUGGUCUGGCUCGGCAAUAUGGGAGCCCCCUGAAACCUUAUACUCAUUUGGUGGUUACUUUGUGGUACAGGGCGCCAGAACUUCUUCUGGGAGCCAAACAAUAUUCUACUGCAAUUGAUAUGUGGUCUGUGGGAUGCAUUAUGGCUGAACUGUUAUCAAAAGAGCCCUUGUUUAGUGGAAAAACAGAGUUUGAUCAGCUUGACAAGAUUUUCAGAAUCCUCGGCACACCAAAUGAGACAAUCUGGCCUGGGUUUUCUAGACUUCCUGGGGUGAAGGUUAACUUUGUCAAGAAUAAAUACAAUCAGUUGCGUAGGAAAUUUCCAGCUACUUCAUUUACUGGCUCACCAGUACUUUCUGAUGCUGGAUUUGACCUGUUGAACAAGCUUUUAACUUAUGAUCCUGAUAAGCGGAUAACUGCUGAAGCAGCUCUGAAGCAUGAAUGGUUCCAAGAAGUUCCACUUCCCAAGUCUAAGGAGUUCAUGCCAACAUUUCCGGCUCAGCACGUGCAAGACAGGCGUAUAAGAAGAGCAAUGAAGAGUCCUGAUCCUCUAAAAGAGCAACAGAGGAAGGAGUUGCAGCAAGAAGAAUUAGGCGCUGGUGAGAGCUAUGGAUCAAAGGGAGUUUCAAACAUUGUUUGCAAGACGAUCUUUUGUGCUGUUUUUAGCAGGCACCUUGAUGAAUGAGGUGGACUAACAAUUUGAUUCAGAUAUAGUGAAGGUUGACUUCUCUGGGCCUCUGCUUUUCCAUAGAAUCUGGCUUUGAUACCUCUUGUAUGGCAACGUGUGGCAUAGGAGUUUCACUUUAAACUUGUGUAACAUAUUUUAUAUUGAUUACAGCAAACAACUUUCUUAAAAUUACUUUUGAAUACUACCAAACAGUUUGAAUCAAAUUUAAUCCUUAUACUGUGUUUGCAAGCGACAGUGAUGUGAAGGGGAGAGGAGAUUCAUAGUUUUUCUUUGUUGAAGAAAUUGACAGAAAAUUGCACUCCAAAGUACCCAAGCAAACAGGUUGAGGAGCUCACUUGCACAACCUGGGAUGUAUAGAAAUUCCCAUAAUUUUCUUUUCUAUAUUCAUAUCUGUCUCAAGCUCAAGAGAGGUACAUUGCUACCUUUUGUUACAUUUUUCACUUUUUAUGGUUGAUUUGUUUCUUUAUCUAAUUUUUGUUUACUUUUUAUUGUCUAAAUUUGCUUUGAUGUCUCAUUCAGGGUCUUUUUGAUGUAGAUUUUGUGAGAAUAAAUUUUGUGAAAAUUGAGAUUUCUAGAAAUGUAAUAAAUGAGUUUGGGGAAAAAUAAAUUUUUAGGAAAGCUCAGUACCAUUA